rnacentral:rRNA from 1 species
UACGUAGGGUGCAAGCGUUGUCCGGAUUUAUUGGGCGUAAAGAGCUCGUAGGCGGUUUGUCGCGUCUGCUGUGAAAACUGGGGGCUCAACCCCCAGCCUGCAGUGGGUACGGGCAGACUAGAGUGCGGUAGGGGAGAUUGGAAUUCCUGGUGUAGCGGUGAAAUGCGCAGAUAUCAGGAGGAACACCGAUGGCGAAGGCAGAUCUCUGGGCCGUAACUGACGCUGAGGAGCGAAAGCAUGGGGAGCGAACAGG